GACGUAGGGCGCGAGCGUUGUCCGGAUUUAUUGGGCGUAAAGAGCUCGUAGGCGGCUUGUCGCGUCGACUGUGAAAACCCGCGGCUCAACUGCAGGCUGGCGGUCGAUACGGGCAGGCUGGGGUUCGGUAGGGGAGACUGGAAUUCCUGGUGUAGCGGUGAAAUGCGCAGAUAUCAGGAGGAACACCGGUGGCGAAGGCGGGUCUCUGGGCAGUAACUGACGCUGAGGAGCGAAAGCGUGGGGAGCGAACAGG
rnacentral:rRNA from 1 species